AAGCUUCGAUUAAGGUUCGAUUCGAGCGCAGCGAGAAAGCGUUGCCGCAGGCAACGACCCGAAGGGCGAAGCGCGCAGCGCUGAGUCAUCCUUCCCCCACCACCA
rnacentral:sRNA from 1 species